UACGUAGGGUCCGAGCGUUGUCCGGAAUUAUUGGGCGUAAAGAGCUCGUAGGCGGUUUGUCGCGUCUGCUGUGAAAUCCCGAGGCUCAACCUCGGGUCUGCAGUGGGUACGGGCAGACUGGAGUGCGGUAGGGGAGAAUGGAAUUCCUGGUGUAGCGGUGGAAUGCGCAGAUAUCAGGAGGAACACCGAUGGCGAAGGCAGUUCUCUGGGCCGUAACUGACGCUGAGGAGCGAAAGCGUGGGGGAGCGAACAGG
rnacentral:rRNA from 1 species